rnacentral:rRNA from 1 species
ACACAUGCAAGUCGAGGGGCAGCGGGAUUGAAGCUUGCUUCAAUUGCCGGCGACCGGCGCACGGGUGAGUAACGCGUAUCCAACCUUCCGUACACUCAGGGAUAGCCUUUCGAAAGAAAGAUUAAUACCUGAUGGUAUGAUGAGAUUGCAUGAUAGCAUCAUUAAAGAUUCAUCGGUGUACGAUGGGGAUGCGUCCCAUUAGGUAGUAGGCGGGGUAACGGCCCACCUAGCCUACGAUGGAUAGGGGUUCUGAGAGGAAGGUCCCCCACAUUGGAACUGAGACACGGUCCAAACUCCUACGGGAGGCAGCAGUGAGGAAUAUUGGUCAAUGGACGAGAGUCUGAACCAGCCAAGUAGCGUGAAGGAUGAAGGUCCUACGGAUUGUAAACUUCUUUUAUAAGGGAAUAAAACCUCCCACGUGUGGGAGCUUGUAUGUACCUUAUGAAUAAGCAUCGGCUAACUCCGUGCCAGCAGCCGCGGUAAUACGGAGGAUGCGAGCGUUAUCCGGAUUUAUUGGGUUUAAAGGGAGCGCAGACGGGUCGUUAAGUCAGCUGUGAAAGUUUGGGGCUCAACCUUAAAAUUGCAGUUGAUACUGGCGUCCUUGAGUGCGGUUGAGGUGUGCGGAAUUCGUGGUGUAGCGGUGAAAUGCUUAGAUAUCACGAAGAACUCCGAUUGCGAAGGCAGCACACUAAGCCGUAACUGACGUUCAUGCUCGAAAGUGUGGGUAUCAAACAGGAUUAGAUACCCUGGUAGUCCACACGGUAAACGAUGGAUACUCGCUGUUGGCGAUAUACUGUCAGCGGCUUAGCGAAAGCGUUAAGUAUCCCACCUGGGGAGUACGCCGGCAACGG